UACGUAGGGGGCAAGCGUUGUCCGGAUUUAUUGGGCGUAAAGAGCGUGUAGGCGGCCAGGUAGGUCCGCUGUGAAAACUCGAGGCUCAACCUCGAGAUGUCGGCGGAAACCAUCUGGCUAGAGUCCGGAAGAGGAGAGUGGAAUUCCUGGUGUAGCGGUGAAAUGCGCAGAUAUCAGGAGGAACACCAGCGGCGAAGGCGGCGACCUGGAUGAGUACUGACACUCAACUGCGAAAGCGUGGGGAGCAAACAGG
rnacentral:rRNA from 1 species